rnacentral:rRNA from 1 species
AGAGUUUGAUCCUGGCUCAGGACGAACGCUGGCGGCGCGCUUAACACAUGCAAGUCGAACGGUGAACCGGGCUUCGGCCCGGGGAUCAGUGGCGAACGGGUGCGUAACACGUGGGCAACCUGCCCCUCACUCUGGGAUAACCCCGGGAAACCGGAGCUAAUACCGGAUACUCCGCGCGAGCCGCAUGGCUCGAACGGGAAAGGUCCGCCGGUGAGGGAUGGGCCUGCGGCCUAUCAGCUUGUUGGUGAGGUAACGGCCCACCAAGGCUUCGACGGGUAGCUGGUCUGAGAGGACGACCAGCCACACUGGGACUGAGAUACGGCCCAGACUCCUACGGGAGGCAGCAGUGGGGAAUCUUGCGCAAUGGGCGAAAGCCUGACGCAGCGACGCCGCGUGGGGGAUGACGGCCCUCGGGUUGUAAACCCCUUUCGGCAGGGACGAAGCGAUCGUGACGGUACCUGCAGAAGAAGCCUCGGCUAACUACGUGCCAGCAGCCGCGGUAAGACGUAGGAGGCGAGCGUUGUCCGGAUUCAUUGGGCGU